GAACGAGGCUGAGAACUGGGCCCCGCUUCCCCAGCGCAGCCCCUGGAGCAGCCACCUGGCCAGAAAGGCCCUCCAGGCAGGGUGGUGCCUACCCCUUCUCUGCCAGGGACAGGCCUAGGCAGUGAGGAACCUCUGAGUCCUCAGCCUCUGGCACCUCUCCCAGCCCUGCCCCUGACCUGGGCAAAUCACUGCAAAGGCUCGCUGUCCCCCCAGUAACUUGGAAACAGCCUGGCUGACUUCAUCCCCGGUUUACUCUACGGUUCAAUGCAGCUGGCAUAACACGCCUCGAACCAGCACCGUGAUGCUCACAGCAUCACUCCUGCUGCCCUGCUGUCAUGUAACCGUAAUUGCUCCAACCCCAGACAGAGAGAUGCUGCUUGGCGCCUGGGAUCUCCUCCCUCGUGAAGAACGGCUGUCCUAUCCUGAGCCCAGCUCCAGAUUAAGAACCAAGAACUUUGCCUGAGAUUUCUUCAUUUUCGAGCCCCCCAGCAGCUGUCAUCAGGGAGCAGCCUGCAGACUGUCCAGGGCAGUCCCACCUGGCCUGGCAGGACAGACCAGGUGUGCGAGGUGGCCGGUGCCCCUGCAGGUCCUGCCAGGGGACACGUGCCACGUCAGAGCACAGACGGCUCCACAGACAUGGAGGCCCAGUCUCCGAGGGACCAAAGAGGCACCUUUCACCAAAAAGAACUGGCUCCCGCCCCCUCGGGCCAUUCACUCUUGGACCAAGAGGCAGGCCCGAGCCCUGGGAGGAGGACUGGCUCCCACAUGAGCCCAAAGCCAGCCAGGAACUGGGGAGAGUUGCUAGGGUUCUGAGCAGCCAGCGUUCACUCUGACCCCAUUUGGGCAGUUGGGCGAGUUUGCUGUGCACCCCGGACAGUGAGUGAGGGGUUAAGAACAAUUUCUGUUUGUAAUUGGAUGACUUCCUGGGAUCACUCACUUGGCCGCUGGCCCCUGACAUGCAGGGCCGUGCCUGGCAACAGCUAACACCCUCUCUGUCUCACCCCGAGUCAUUUUCCUUAAAUGAAACAAGUGCAGGGAAGGCUCCCUGCAUGACGGAGCAGGGCCUUCUGGGCUGAAUGAACUGCACACUCAUUGGCCUCAUGCUGCUGGGCCUGCCCAUCCCCUCCCUCCCCACUCCCCCACCCCCAGUGGACAGGACGGGGUUGGGGGAGGGUCUGGGUGUUGCACAUGUUCACAACCACCUGACAACUGGCGCUGACAGCACCUAUGCCUGGAGUUGUGAGAAUUAGGUGGGAUUGUGCCAAGCGCUUGACAAGGUGCCUGCACACAGUUUGGAGGCUCGGGCAUGGCCGCUAAUACUCUUUCUGCAGCUUGUGGCUCUCACAGGGCCACCUACAGGCCUGAGCAAGCCUGCCGGGGAGGGGUCGCCUCCGCCAGUCCAUGCUCAGAUCAGGGGCGGACCACACAUUUAAUGACAUGGCCAGCUGACCCUGCAUUUGUAGGAAAACCUAACUCCUUGUUUAAGUCUGUGGUUUAGACCUAAAAACUAUUAUUCCUGCUCCUUCCACCAGUGUGUCUUCCCCAAGGCCAACUCCGUGAAACUGAAAAAGGCUGACCCCCUCAGGCACCUGUCGGCCAGGGGCUGGCUGCAGCUGUGAGCGGGUCACCCCAGCACUUCCUCCGUGGCAGGGCCGCUGCAAGGGCAGCCCGGGCUGCCCCGCUCGGACGCCUGGCCCUGGCCCUGGACGGCGGUGCGCAGCACCACAGAACCGGGACACUCCAGAUGCAACACAGUUCAGAGCCUGGACCACAGGAGGAAGUGCUCAUGGCCCCGUUUGCAUAAAAUAAAGCCAUGGAGAUUU